rnacentral:lncRNA from 1 species
GGUGUGUGCCGCGCGCGGGAAACGCCGUUCUCCGCUCCAGGCGUCGGCGGGCGGUGGCGAGAGCAGAUUUUAUAGGUUCAGAAAGUGUGUCUCAGAGGAGUUAGAGAAGACCGAUUAAUAGAUGACAGUGCUAAAGCCUGGAUCUCCUGAAUCCUGGUUCUGGGAUACAUGUGCAGAAUGUGCAGGUUUGUUAAUAGGCAUACGUGUGCCAUGGUGGUUUGCUGCCCCUUCAACCCGUCAUCUAGAUUUUAAGCCCCGCAUGCAUUAGUUUGGGGGAAGUUCUAUGAAAUCUAAGUUGAUGAACAUUAUUCCCCCUGCUGAUACCAAAAGUCCUGACUUGUAAGGAGGACAAAGCUGAGAUGAAAGUGUCCUAAGUUAGAUUCCUGGGAAGAAAAUUCUGAGACACAUUCUGCAGGAUGAUUAUUAGGGCUCAUCCUUGGUUUCAACACCCAUAGAAGGAAGGGGGAAGAAGAAAUCGAACAGAGAGACAGAAGUCGAGAUGCAUUUCAGGCCAGGACUCUUGGCUGAACCCACAGGAGCUCUGGAGCUAGAAUGGCCCUUCAGAGUUGUCCUGAGUUGGUCUGAGAUGGCCAGUUCUUUAUAUUCCUGCAUGGGAUAGUCACUGGAUGUCCACCCCAGGAAGGGGUGUGGCCAAGACAGUCCCUAAAAUGCCCGCCAGCACUCCCUACACCUGGAGCGACAAGACCAACAUCACAGGGGGAAUGCACUGGGUGAUGGAUCACAGCGUUCAUCCCAGAAGAUGAGGAUACAGAAUUGGCUGACAACUACGUUCUAAAUGUCAGUGUUCUCCAAAAUUCAUAUGUUGAAACUUAAUUCCCAAUGUGAUGGCAUUAGGAAGUGGGGCCUUUGGGGGAGGGACUAUAGGUCAUGAGGGUGUAACCCUCAUCAAUGGGAUUAGUGUCCAGAGAGCUGCCUUGCCCUUCCACCAUGUGAGGACAUAGUGAGAAGGUGCCAUCUAUGAACUAGGAAGUGGGCGCUUACCACCAGACACCCACUCUUCUGGCAACUUGAUCUUGAAUUUCCCAGCCUCCAGAACUCUGAGAAAUCAAUUUCUGUUAAUUAUAAGCUACCCAGUCGAUAGCAUUUUGUUAAAGCUGCUGGAACUAAACUAAGACACUGACGCUUUCUGCGACAAAAAGAUAGAGUGAGUCUCUAUAGCAUACCAUGUAACAGAUGUUUUUGGAAAAAUAACCUCAUUUCAUAUGUUUCCUCAAGAUAAAAAGAAUGUCAUAACAACAAAUGAGAAAAUAGUUGCUUUAGAAAUAUUGCACCCUAUGGAGAGAGUAUUUUGGAUUUUGGUUUUUUGUUUUGUUUUUUAACUUUUGUUUUAGGUUUGGGGGUACAUAUGCAGGUUUGUUAUAUAGGUAAACUCAUGUCACAGGGGUUUGUUGUACAGAUAAUUUCCUCACCCAGGUACUAAGCCUAGUACCCAAUAGUUGCUUUUUCUCCUCCUCUCUCUCCUCCCACCCUCCACCCUCAAAUAGGCCCCAGUGUAUGUUGUUCUCUUCAUUAUGUUCAUGAAGUUGAGAGAGUGUUUUGAAAAAGAAUGUUGGAAAGCAUUUCCACUGUUAGAUGAUUUUAAGUCAAAAAGUUAUACAACAGUGUGACCUAUUUGCACACAAGCAUGGACACAGAAUUGUGUCAUAUGUUUAAAACUUUUCUAGAUCCUUUUGUGGUUCAUAAGCUUGAUGAUUGAGUUUUCGCGUCCACAUGUGAGAUGUGCCUCCCUUGAGCCUUGUCAUUGGCACAUUACCUGCCUGAUGUGAACAAUAAAAAUAAAAAAUAAAAAUUUGCUAAGCAG